GCCAGACUCCUACGGGAGGCAGCAGUGGGGGAUAUUGCACAAUGGGGGAAACCCUGAUGCAGCGACGCCGCGUGCAGGAAGAAGGUUUUCGGAUUGUAAACUGCUUUAGACAGGGAAGAUAAUGACAGUACCUGUAGAAUAAGCUCCGGCUAACUACGUGCCAGCAGCCGCGGUAAUACGUAGGGAGCAAGCGUUAUCCGGAUUUAUUGGGUGUAAAGGGUGCGUAGACGGGAAAACAAGUUAGUUGUGAAAUCCCUCGGCUUAACGGAGGAACUGCAACUAAAACUAUUUUUCUUGAGUGCUGGAGAGGAAAGUGGAAUUCCUAGUGUAGCGGUGAAAUGCGUAGAUAUUAGGAGGAACACCAGUGGCGAAGGCGACUUUCUGGACAGUAACUGACGUUGAGGCACGAAAGUGUGGGGAGCAAACAGGAUUAGAUACCCUGGUAC
rnacentral:rRNA from 1 species